GAUUGAACGCUGGCGGCAGGCUUAACACAUGCAAGUCGAGCGGAGAUGAGGUGCUUGCACCUUAUCUUAGCGGCGGACGGGUGAGUAAUGCUUAGGAAUCUGCCUAUUAGUGGGGGACAACAUUUCGAAAGGAAUGCUAAUACCGCAUACGCCCUACGGGGGAAAGCAGGGGAUCUUCGGACCUUGCGCUAAUAGAUGAGCCUAAGUCGGAUUAGCUAGUUGGUGGGGUAAAGGCCUACCAAGGCGACGAUCUGUAGCGGGUCUGAGAGGAUGAUCCGCCACACUGGGACUGAGACACGGCCCAGACUCCUACGGGAGGCAGCAGUGGGGAAUAUUGGACAAUGGGGGGAACCCUGAUCCAGCCAUGCCGCGUGUGUGAAGAAGGCCUUUUGGUUGUAAAGCACUUUAAGCGAGGAGGAGGAGCUCUAGAUUAAUACUCUAGAUGCUUGGACGUUACUCGCAGAAUAAGCACCGGCUAACUCU
rnacentral:rRNA from 1 species